AUGCUGUCCCAGCUCAAGAUGCUCGCGGACGCCAUGUACCGAGGAUACUGGGCGAUGGACGCGUUCAAGUACAGAUCCCUCAAGGAGACUCUCAUGGCGGAUGAGGAGAAGGAGGAGGUUAGCAGCUCAUCAUCUCGUCUCAAACGUUCUCGUAUAAUUCACGGGAGUGCUAGAAAACACAAGGCAAGACACCUCAUGGAGUUUCAUGGUGCACUGGAAAGCCUAGAAAUUGCGGUUGCCAACAUCACAGAGUUUGUUGUGAUUUUGAGUGGAUAUGACCGUAUGGUGCGCAGACAAUAUGAUACAUAUCUUUACAUUGACAACUUUGUGUUUGGCCGCCAUUCUGAAAAGCAAAUGAUCUUGAGCUUCCUCUUGCAAGACAACCCUGCUGCUGCCGUGCCAACUGUUCUUCCAAUCAUUGGCGGUCUUGCGGUGGGGAAGAAAACUUUGGUUGCGCAUGUAUGCAAGGAUGAGAGGGUCUGCUCGCACUUCUCUUCAAUUAUGCGCUUGAAUGAAACCGAUUUUUAUACAAUAGCGGAUAGAGGAAGUGUCAUGUUAGGGACAGGGAGGAUAUUGAUAGUCGUUGAGAUUGAUUCAGAUGUGGAUGAAAAGGAUUGGGCCACAUUUUAUUCAUAUGUGGCAAGCAUGGAUGGAGGAAGCAAAGUGAUCAUCUUAAGUAGGCUUAAAAGGACGGAGAAAUUUGGAACUGUGAAUCCAAUUUUUCUCAAUGUCCUGACAUAUGAGGAGUUCAGCUACCUCUUCAAGGCACUCGCAUUCGGAAGUGCAAACCCGGGGGAACACCCGCAGUUAGUACAAAUAGCAGACAGGUUUGCCAGAGAGUUACAAUCGGGGUGGUCAAUUCUCGCAGCAAAUUUGUUUGCAGAUGUAAUGAGAACGAACCUGAAUGUUCAUUCCUGGCUUAGUAUAUUGAGCAGGUGCAGGAGACUAGUUGAUAGAAACCUCACCAUUUUUGGUGAGCAUCCAAAAUUGCGUCUUGAAAAAGGUCUUCCAAUAGACGUGACGGACAUGGUUCUGCGUCCUGCUUCUCCACUUCAGUUCAUUUGGAAUAUCUCAAACAAUGUUCCAGCAAAGGAAUUACCACAGGUGACCUUUACAGAGCUAUUAGUUGAUCUUAGGCCAAAGAUGCAGGCCACAGUAGUGAGAUUUGAAUCAAGAAUUCCACCUUAUACUACAUUUGAUCACAUUCUUUCAAGUUAUGCUCAAGAUACUCCUUAG
rnacentral:rRNA from 1 species